GAGUUUGAUCAUGGCUCAGGAUGAACGCUAGCGGCAGGCUUAACACAUGCAAGUCGAGGGGCAGCGGGGGUAGCAAUACCCGCCGGCGACCGGCGCACGGGUGAGUAACGCGUAUGCAACUUGCCUAUCAGAGGGGGAUAACCCGGCGAAAGUCGGACUAAUACCGCAUGAAGCAGGGGUCCCGCAUGGGGAUAUUUGCUAAAGAUUCAUCGCUGAUAGAUAGGCAUGCGUUCCAUUAGGCAGUUGGCGGGGUAACGGCCCACCAAACCGACGAUGGAUAGGGGUUCUGAGAGGAAGGUCCCCCACAUUGGUACUGAGACACGGACCAAACUCCUACGGGAGGCAGCAGUGAGGAAUAUUGGUCAAUGGGCGUAAGCCUGAACCAGCCAAGUCGCGUGAGGGAUGAAGGUUCUAUGGAUCGUAAACCUCUUUUAUAAGGGAAUAAAGUGCGGGACGUGUCCCGUUUUGUAUGUACCUUAUGAAUAAGGAUCGGCUAACUCCGUGCCAGCAGCCGCGGUAAUACGGAGGAUCCGAGCGUUAUCCGGAUUUAUUGGGUUUAAAGGGUGCGUAGGCGGCCUUUUAAGUCAGCGGUGAAAGUCUGUGGCUCAACCAUAGAAUUGCCGUUGAAACUGGGAGGCUUGAGUAUGUUUGAGGCAGGCGGAAUGCGUGGUGUAGCGGUGAAAUGCUUAGAUAUCACGCAGAACCCCGAUUGCGAAGGCAGCCUGCCAAGCCAUGACUGACGCUGAUGCACGAAAGCGUGGGGAUCAAACAGGAUUAGAUACCCUGGUAGUCCACGCAGUAAACGAUGAUCACUAGCUGUUUGCGAUACAGUGUAAGCGGCACAGCGAAAGCGUUAAGUGAUCCACCUGGGGAGUACGCCGGCAACGGUGAAACUCAAAGGAAUUGACGG
rnacentral:rRNA from 1 species